GGUCAAGCGAACAAGUGCAUGUGGUGGAUGCCUUGGCGAUCACAGGCGAUGAAGGACGCGGUAGCCUGCGAAAAGCUACGGGGAGCUGGCAAACGAGCUUUGAUCCGUAGAUGUCCGAAUGGGGAAACCCACUCCUUUUGGAGUAUCCAUGGCUGAAUACAUAGGCCAUGUGAAGCGAACGCGGUGAACUGAAACAUCUAAGUAACCGCAGGAAAAGAAAUCAACCGAGAUUCCCAAAGUAGUGGCGAGCGAAAUGGGAUGAGCCUUGUACUCUUUAUUUGUAUUGUUAGCCGAACGCUCUGGAAAGUGCGGCCAUAGCAGGUGAUAGCCCUGUAGGCGAAAACAAUAUGAAAGAACUAAGUGUACGACAAGUAGGGCGGGACACGUGAAAUCCUGUCUGAAGAUGGGGGGACCAUCCUCCAAGGCUAAAUACUCGUGAUCGACCGAUAGUGAACCAGUACCGUGAGGGAAAG
rnacentral:rRNA from 1 species